rnacentral:rRNA from 1 species
GGACCCACCUGAUUCCAUGCCGAACUCAGAAGUGAAACACAAUAGCGCCGAUGGUAGUGUGGGGUUUCCCCAUGUGAGAGUAGGACAUCGCCAGGC